GACGAACGCUGGCGGCGUGCUUAACACAUGCAAGUCGAACGGAAAGGCCCUGCUCUUGCGGGGUGCUCGAGUGGCGAACGGGUGAGUAACACGUGAGUAACCUGCCCUUGACUUUGGGAUAACUCCAGGAAACUGGGGCUAAUACCGGAUAUGAGCUCCUGCUGCAUGGUGGGGGUUGGUAAGUUUCGGCGGUUGGGGAUGGAAUCGCGGCUUAUCAGCUUGUUGGUGGGGUAGUGGCUUACCAAGGCUUUGACGGGUAGCCGGCCUGAGAGGGUGACCGGCCACAUUGGGACUGAGAUACGGCCCAGACUCCUACGGGAGGCAGCAGUGGGGAAUAUUGCACAAUGGGCGGAAGCCUGAUGCAGCAACGCCGCGUGCGGGAUGACGGCCUUCGGGUUGUAAACCGCUUUCGCCUGUGACGAAGCGUGAGUGACGGUAAUGGGUAAAGAAGCACCGGCUAACUACGUG
rnacentral:rRNA from 1 species